AUGGUAAGCAGUAUGAGAGGG
rnacentral:siRNA from 1 species